CUUGAACGCUGGCGGCAGGCCUAACACAUGCAAGUCGAGCGAGCGGCGGACGGGUGUGUAAUGUAUGGGGACUGCCCGCUAGAGGGGGAUAACUAUUGGAAACGGUGGCUAAUCCCGCAUACUAUCGGAUAACCCAUAUGGGAUUAGCUAGUAGGUGGGGUAAAGGUUCACCUAGGCGACGAUCUCUAGCUGGGCUGAGAGGAUGAUAAGCCAAACUGGGACUGAGGAACGGCCCAGAGUCCUACGGAGGCAGCAGUGGGGAAUAUUGAACAAUGGGAGCAAGCCUGAUGCAGCCAUGCCGCGUGUAUGAAGGAGGCCUUAGGGUUGUAAAGUACUUUCAGCGGGGAGGCGUUACCCGCAGAAGAAGCACCGGCUAACUCCGUGCCAGCAGCCGCGGUAAUUC
rnacentral:rRNA from 1 species